rnacentral:rRNA from 1 species
GAUGAACGCUGGCGGCGUGCCUAAUACAUGCAAGUCGAGCGAACAGACGAGGAGCUUGCUCCUCUGACGUUAGCGGCGGACGGGUGAGUAACACGUGGAUAACCUACCUAUAAGACUGGGAUAACUUCGGGAAACCGGAGCUAAUACCGGAUAAUAUAUUGAACCGCAUGGUUCAAUAGUGAAAGACGGUUUUGCUGUCACUUAUAGAUGGAUCCGCGCCGCAUUAGCUAGUUGGUAAGGUAACGGCUUACCAAGGCAACGAUGCGUAGCCGACCUGAGAGGGUGAUCGGCCACACUAGAACUGAGACACGGUCCAGACUCCUACGGGAGGCAGCAGUAGGGAAUCUUCCGCAAUGGGCGAAAGCCGGACGGAGCAACGCCGCGUGAGUGAUGAAGGUCUUCGGAUCGUAAAACUCUGUUAUUAGGGAAGAACAAAUGUGUAAGUAACUAUGCACGUCUUGACGGUACCUAAUCAGAAAGCCACGGCUAACUACGUG